rnacentral:rRNA from 1 species
AUUAGAACGCUGGCGGAAUGCUUUACACAUGCAAGUCGAACGGCAGCACGGGGCAACCUGGUGGCGAGUGGCGAACGGGUGAGUAAUACAUCGGAACGUGCCCAAUCGUGGGGGAUAACGUAGCGAAAGUUACGCUAAUACCGCAUACGAUCUACGGAUGAAAGCGGGGGAUCGCAAGACCUCGCGCGAAUGGAGCGGCCGAUGUCAGAUUAGGUAGUUGGUGGGGUAAAGGCUCACCAAGCCGACGAUCUGUAGCUGGUCUGAGAGGACGACCAGCCACACUGGGACUGAGACACGGCCCAGACUCCUACGGGAGGCAGCAGUGGGGAAUUUUGGACAAUGGGCGCAAGCCUGAUCCAGCCAUUCCGCGUGCAGGAUGAAGGCCUUCGGGUUGUAAACUGCUUUUGUACGGAACGAAACGGUUCUCUCUAAUACAGGGGGCUAAUGACGGUACCGUAAGAAUAAGCACCGGCUAACUACGUG